UUGAUCCUGGCUCAGGAUUAACGCUGGCGGCGUGCAUAACACAUGCAAGUCGAACGAUGAAACUUAGUAGACUUCUUCGGAAAGACACUAAGCGGAUUAGUGGCGAACGGGUGAGUAACGCGUGAGUAACCUGCCUUACACAAGGGGAUAGCCUUUGGAAACGAAGAAUAAUACCCUAUAAAACCAUAAAAGCACAUGCUAGAAUGGUCAAAGUGAUAGCGGUGUAAGAUGGACUUGCGUCUGAUUAGCUAGUUGGUGAGAUAAAAGCUCACCAAGGCAACGAUCAGUAGCCGGCUUGAGAGAGUGUACGGCCACAUUGGGACUGAGACACGGCCCAGACUCCUACGGGAGGCAGCAGUGGGGAAUUUUGCACAAUGGGGGAAACCCUGAUGCAGCGACGCCGCGUGAUUUAGAAGGCCUUCGGGUUGUAAAAAUCUUUUGUAUAGGAAGAAAAUGACAGUACUAUACGAAUAAGGUCCGGCUAAUUACGUGCCAGCAGCCGCGGUAAUACGUAAGGACCGAGCGUUGUCCGGAAUCAUUGGGCGUAAAGGGUACGUAGGCGGCUAGAAAAGUUAGAAGUCAAAGGCUAUAGCUCAACUAUAGUAAGCUUCUAAAACUAUUUAGCUUGAGAAAUGGAAGGGAAAGUGGAAUUCCUAGUGUAGCGGUGGAAUGCGCAGAUAUUAGGAAGAAUACCGGUGGCGAAGGCGACUUUCUGGCCAUUAUCUGACGCUGAGGUACGAAAGCGUGGGUAGCAAACAGGAUUAGAUACC
rnacentral:rRNA from 2 species